UGCCCGGUGCUCGAAGGUUAAUUGAUGGGGUUAGCAUUAGCGAAGCUCUUGAUCGAAGCCCGAGUAAACGGCGGCCGUAACUAUAACGGUCCUAAGGUAGCGAAAUUCCUUGUCGGUUAAAUACCGACCUGCAUGAAUGGCGUAACGAGAUGGGAGCUGUCUCAAAGAGGGAUCCAGUGAAAUUGUAGUGGAGGUGAAAAUUCCUCCUACCCGCGGCAAGACGGAGAGACCCCGUGGACCUUUACUACAGCUUGACACUGCUAUUUGGAUAAGAAUGUGCAGGAUAGGUGGGAGGCUUUGAGUAUAUGACGCCAGUUGUAUAUGAGCCAUUGUUGAGAUACCACUCUUUCUUAUUUGGGUAGCUAACCAGCUUGAGUUAUCCUCAAGUGGGACAAUGUCUGGUGGGUAGUUUGACUGGGGCGGUCGCCUCCCAAAUAAUAACGGAGGCUUACAAAGGUUGGCU
rnacentral:rRNA from 1 species